rnacentral:rRNA from 1 species
GAUGAACGCUAGCGGCAGGCUUAACACAUGCAAGUCGAGGGGUAGUCUAGCAAUAGAUGAGACCGGCGCACGGGUGCGUAACGCGUAUGCAACCUACCUUUUACAGAGGGAUAGCCCAGAGAAACUUGGAAUAAUACCACAUAGUAUAUGUCUUUCGCAUGUUAGACAUAUUAAAGUUCCAACGGUAAAAGAUGGGCAUGCGUCCUAUUAGCUAGAUGGUAAGGUAACGGCUUACCAUGGCAACGAUAAGUAGGGGUCCAGAAAGGGAGAUCCCCCAAACUGGUACUGGGACACGGACCAGACUCCUACGGGGGGCAGCAGUGAGGAAUAUUGGACAAUGGGGGCAACCCUGAUCCAGCCAUGCCGCGUGUGUGAAGAAGGCCUUCGGGUUGUAAAGCACUUUUGGCAGGGACGAAGCGGUCCGUGUUAAUACCACGGGCUAAUGACGGUACCUGCAGAAUAAGCACCGGCUAACUACGUGCCAGCCGCCGCAGUAAUAC